CAACGAGCGCAACCCUCGAUCUUAGUUACCAUCAUUUAGUUGGGGACUCUAAGAUAACCGCCGGUGAUAAGCCGGAGGAAGGUGGGGAUGACGUCAAGUCCUCAUGGCCCUUACGCGCUGGGCUACACACGUGCUACAAUGGCAACUACAGUGGGCAGCGACCCUGCGAGGGCGAGCUAAUCCCCAAAAGUUGUCUCAGUUCGGAUUGUUCUCUGCAACUCGAGAGCAUGAAGGCGGAAUCGCUAGUAAUCGCGGAUCAGCAUGCCGCGGUGAAUACGUUCCCAGGCCUUGUACACACCGCCCGUCACACCAUGGGAGUUGGAUUCACCCGAAGGCGUUGCGCCAACCCGCAAGGGAAGCAGGCGACCACGGUGGGUUCAGCGACUGGGGUGAAGUCGUAACAAGGUAGCCGU
rnacentral:rRNA from 1 species